rnacentral:rRNA from 1 species
AGUGAACGCUGGCGGCAUGCCUUACACAUGCAAGUCGAACGGUAACAGGUCUUCGGAUGCUGACGAGUGGCGAACGGGUGAGUAAUACAUCGGAACGUGCCUAGUAGUGGGGGAUAACUACUCGAAAGAGUGGCUAAUACCGCGUGAGAUCUACGGAUGAAAGCAGGGGAUCGCAAGACCUUGUGCUACUAGAGCGGCCGAUGGCAGAUUAGGUAGUUGGUGGGAUAAAAGCUUACCAAGCCGACGAUCUGUAGCUGGUCUGAGAGGACGAUCAGCCACACUGGGACUGAGACACGGCCCAGGCUCCUACGGGAGGCAGCAGUGGGGAAUUUUGGACAAUGGGCGCAAGCCUGAUCCAGUAAUGCCGCGUGCAGGAUGAAGGCCUUCGGGUUGUAAACUGCUUUUGUACGGAACGAAAAGCCCUGGGUUAAUACCCUGGGGUCAUGACGGUACCGUAAGAAUAAGCACCGGCUAACUACGUGCCAGCCGCCGCCGUAACAC